GGGCCGUUAGCUCAGUUGGUUAGAGCAGUCGACUCAUAAUCGAUUGGUCACAGGUUCAAGUCCUGUACGGCCCACCA
rnacentral:tRNA from 2 species